AGUCUACGGGAGGCAGCAGUGGGGAAUAUUGCACAAUGGGCGAAAGCCUGAUGCAGCAACGCCGCGUGAACGAUGAAGGUCUUCGGAUCGUAAAGUUCUGUUGUCGGGGACGAAAGGAAAGGGGAGGCAAUGCCCCUUUCAAGACGGUACCCGACGAGGAAGCCACGGCUAACUACGUGCCAGCAGCCGCGGUAAUGACU
rnacentral:rRNA from 1 species